UUAAACGGCCGCGGUAUUUUGACCGUGCAAAGGUAGCGCAAUCACUUGUCUUUUAAAUGAAGACCUGUAUGAAUGGUAGUACGAGGGCUUAACUGUCUCCCCCUUCUAGUCAAUGAAAUUGAUCUACCCGUGCAGAAGCGGGUAUAAUAAUACAAGACGAGAAGACCCUUUGGAGCUUAAGACAAAAGACCAACUAUGUCAAAAGACAAGAAACUAAACCAAAUAGCACUGAUCUCAAUCUUCGGUUGGGGUGACCGCGGGAGAAAAUAAAGCUCCCAUGCGGACAGGGGCCCCUCUAGAACUAAGAGAGCCAUCUCUAAGGCACAGAAUUUCUGACCACAAAGAUCCGGCUAUCUACCGACCAACGGACCAAGUUACCCUAGGGAUAACAGCGCAAUCCCCUUUCAGAGUCCAUAUCGACAAGGGGGUUUACGACCUCGAUGUUGGAUCAGGACAUCCUAAUGGUGCAGCCGCUAUUAAGGGUUCGUUUG
rnacentral:rRNA from 1 species